CACGCAUCGUGACGGUUCCGCCUCCUUCCCCAUCCGCCCCUCCUCUACCGACUCGCCCCCUCAUGUUCCUCCCCGUCACCUCCUCUCUCCACCCGCUCGUCGCCGCCGCUCUCACCCACGCGCUCGUGAAUGCCGUCACGCCGGCGCCCGCGUCCGCGCGCUCGUGACAGCCCACUCGCCGUGCGCCCCUCCUCCGCUGACCCGCGCCCCUCUCCUGCGUGGCCCCGUCGCCCCCUCUCUCCCCGUCUGCUCGUCGCCGCUGCUCUCACCCGACCCCCGCGCUCGCGAACUUUGUCACGCCAGCCCCCGCGCACUCGAGACCGCCCGCGCGCUGCGCUCCCCAUCCUCCGCCGAGCCACGGCCCCCUUCUGCGCGGCUCCCAACACCGGCAUCGGUUCCGCCCUCAAUGACACCGGCAUCGAUUCCCCCUCUCGCUUGCCGCCGCUAUCGCCUCUCCACUGCCCCCCUUGCUCUCCAGCCUCCUAGCGCACCGGGCGUCUCCGGCUCCCAGCGCUCCGCGGCUCCCCGACGCGAGGCCUACGGUCCGCCGGCUCCAGCCGCACAGCACCUCCGGCCUCCCAGCGCUCCGCGGCUCCAGACGUGAGGUCCAUGGCCCACCGGAUCUGUGCGCGCGGAGCCUCCAAGGUCCUCUACCGCAUUCGGGGCACAUCUAUGGAAGUUCAGGUAAGCUCUCAUAAGCAGGCUCCUAAUUGCUUCAAAUAAUGGUGAGUUAGGUACGUAUACAUUUGCAGUUACAAAUAAUUUUCACAUUUUAGAGGUUACAACUGCAGGUCUUAGUUCUUUCAGCAUACCUUCAAGUUUGUGGAUAAGGUUUAGAGCAUUCCUGGUGGCUACUGGGUUGAAGAUGAGGUGAUCUUAUACAUGGUAACUAAUGCACAAACUUGCUUGACAUAGGCUCUGAUCCUGAUGCUAAAUGGGGAUUUUUGAACUAGACUAGAAACAAGAGCACCAGGUUAGGUUUCUGCAUUAGAAAGAAGCUCAAUACCUACAUAUCAGGUAAUACAUUAUUUUAAUUAUCCAUUUUGAGUGUCUGUCCCGCUGAAUUUGAAUGCAAAAUUACAAGAAUCUCUUCAUAGACUAAAUAUGUUUUAACUAGAAUAUUUUUGAAAUAUGAGUCACUGCAAACUUAAAUUGUGUCACACUUGAUAUGAGAGAGUGAUGGCGUAUCUGAAUUGUUUAUCACAGAAACUGUGAAGGAAAAAAUUGGCAUUUCUGAAAUGAGCUAUGCUUGGGUGUUGAUAUUUUUUAUUUCAUUGGGAAAGAAGAGGACUUUUCUGUGCAUUUUCAUCCAAACUCAAAUACCCCAUUGUAAUGUACAAAAAAAACAAAAGGUGUGUAUAUAUGCCCCCAUCCACUAUAUAAUAUAUGCAUUAAUGUUAGUUGGAUUUGUGUUUGCUAUAUCCUAUAUGACAGCUGAAUGAACUAGACAGAUACACUGAAUGGUUACUCGGUAAGUGUUUGGUUUUCUGUCAAACUAAGAAAACUCAUGACUGAACUAACUCAAAGUUUAAAUUGCUGAAAACCAGCAAUCAUUCAAACAAGUCAGCUUGAAUAAUCUUUGCACUUACAUAUCCAGGUUCACAUGGUUUGCAUAUUCAAAAAGAUGUACACAAUUGUAGUGUGGUAAGGUGGAUUCGGUGAUCUGUUAGAGCCGGACGCCUGGACCAUGUGAUUCGAAUAUCUAGAGGAUUGGAGCUUCUGUUAGCCAUUAGUCACUGUUGUAACUUGUAAGAUUUUAAGUUGUAAGUCUAAUAUGGAGGAAGAAGAGUACUUGUGUAUCUGUGUCUCACAAUCAAGUUAGUUAUAUUUUAUUGAUUGAGUGUUCACAUGUUUAUUUCAUUGGAAAAUAAGGGGUCUUUAAUGUA